AAUUUGAAUGAGCAACCAAUCUUAGCGCCUUGACCUUAUCCUCUUUUAAUGCCCCAUUUAUUACAUGAGAAAAUGUUUCUCAUGAAAUCACUCAUGCACAAAUUAAGCCACGCCCUCCUCUUCUCACGCCCUUAGUGGAUAGGGAUAAAUUGAUUUCUAUUUGAAUUCAAAAUUUGAUUUGAAUUCAAAUGUGCAAUUACUCAUCUUUAUCCUCUCACGUGGAUAAGACGUUUGACAUUGUUUUAAAAGGAGGAGAAGAGUGGGGCGUGUGCAAGAAAAAUUUUGAAGAGAAAAUCUGGGUGUGAGGAAUCCUUGUGUGUAAGGUGA
rnacentral:lncRNA from 1 species